rnacentral:rRNA from 1 species
AGCCGCGGUAAUACGUAGGGUGCGAGCGUUGUCCGGAAUUAUUGGGCGUAAAGGGCUCGUAGGCGGUUUGUCGCGUCGGGAGUGUAAUCCUCGUGCUUAACACGGGGCUUGCUUUCGAUACGGGCAGACUGGAGGCAUGCAGGGGAGAACGGAAUUCCUGGUGUAGCGGUGAAAUGCGCAGAUAUCAGGAGGAACACCGGUGGCGAAGGCGGUUCUCUGGGCAUGUCCUGACGCUGAGGAGCGAAAGUGUGGGGAGCGAACAGGAUUAGAUACCCUGGUAGUCCACACCGUAAACGUUGGGCGCUAGGUGUGGGAUCCAUUCCACGGGUUCCGUGCCGUAGCUAACGCAUUAAGCGCCCCGCCUGGGGAGUACGGCCGCAAGGCUAAAACUCAAAGGAAUUGACGGGGGCCCGCACAAGCGGCGGAGCAUGCGGAUUAAUUCGAUGCAACGCGAAGAACCUUACCUGGGUUUGACAUACACCCUGCCGCUCCAGAGAUGGGGUUUCUUUUGGGGGUGUACAGGUGGUGCAUGGCC